AUUGAAGUGCCUGAAUUUAAAGGAUUGUUUUGAUAGAACAAAUCAUGUAAUAUUACCUUCAAUA
rnacentral:tRNA from 1 species